rnacentral:pre_miRNA from 1 species
GCGCACUGAGCAGGCUAUAUGCAUGAAUUUCAAUGGUCUUAUCUCUAAUUUAUAGAUCAUCUUUCAAGCGUAUAGCCUGCUCAGUGCGCAAUG